GAUGAACGCUGGCGGCGUGCUUAACACAUGCAAGUCGAACGGAAAGGCUCCUGCUUGCAGGGGUACUCGAGUGGCGAACGGGUGAGUAACACGUGGGUGAUCUGCCCUGCACUUCGGGAUAAGCCUGGGAAACUGGGUCUAAUACCGGAUAGGACCACAUUUUGGAUGGUGUGGUGGAAAGUUUUUCGGUGUGGGAUGAGCUCGCGGCCUAUCAGCUUGUUGGUGGGGUAAUGGCCUACCAAGGCGUCGACGGGUAGCCGGCCUGAGAGGGUGUACGGCCACAUUGGGACUGAGAUACGGCCCAGACUCCUACGGGAGGCAGCAGUGGGGAAUAUUGCACAAUGGGCGCAAGCCUGAUGCAGCGACGCCGCGUGGGGGAUGACGGCCUUCGGGUUGUAAACUCCUUUCGCUAGGGACGAAGCGCAAGUGACGGUACCUGGAGAAGUAGCACCGGCUAACUACGUG
rnacentral:rRNA from 1 species